UUCGUUUGUAGCUUAAGAGGAUGAGAGCCUCCGAAGGAGGUUUGAGCCGAGCGUAGCGAGACAACGUUGCUUUAGCAACGGCCCGUAGGGCGCUUCUCGCAGAGAAGCGUAAUCCUCUCUCGCCGACCA
rnacentral:sRNA from 1 species